rnacentral:rRNA from 1 species
UGCCAGCCGCCGCGGUAAUACGGAGGGUGCAAACGUUGCUCGGAAUCAUUGGGCGUAAAGCGCACGUAGGCGGCUUUGUAAGUCGGAUGUGAAAGCCCUCGGCUUAACCGGGGAAGUGCAUUCGAAACUGCAAAGCUUGAGUAUGGGAGAGGAUUGCGGAAUUCCCGGUGUAGAGGUGAAAUUCGUAGAUAUCGGGAGGAACACCAGUGGCGAAGGCGGCAAUCUGGACCAAUACUGACGCUGAGGUGCGAAAGCGUGGGGAGCAAACAGGAUUAGAUA